GUGGGAAACCUUGCCAGGCAGCUAGGAUGUCAUGUUUAUACAUGUUCGUGAGUGAGUUCAUCAAAUAUAUACAUGUAUUUUUGAACACAAGUUGAUAUGAUAGUCAGGAUCUUGGAAACUGCCUCAUCCUGCCUAGCUGGAAUUUUAUAAACAGGCCCUUUCAUGGAGCCCAUGGCUAGGUAAUAAUAGGCUUGCAUGGUUAGAUCUCCCACAAGCUAGUUUGGGCCAUUUGACAAUAUUUUUUGGACUGGUCAGGUAAUUUGUGAACUGAAACUGAUAUAUCAGUGUGCUCAUAUAUGCUAAUUGCUAAUUACAGGCAAGCACAAUAAAUUCAAUAUUAUUUUAUAUAUUGACAAUAUGAUUUACCAUGAAUACUAAUUGACUAAAUGUGGGCACAUAGUUAUUUGAAGGGCAAUAAAUAAAUCCAAUUGGUAUCAUGUAUUUCUUUGUUGUGAAGGGGCAAAGAAUGGGACUUGUUGGAUAGCCUAAGUAGAGGAUUUAUAGAAUAAAAAUAUGUAAUGUUUUAUAAACUCAGACAUCAGUGAAAUAUGCAUUUAGUCUGUUCAACAAGCUCAAAUAUGUUUGCUCUCAGCCGUCAGGCUGAGUUUUGGAAACCUUGUCAGUAUGGUAUUAAGAAAAGGAUAGUUGUCAUGUCAAUGUGUGUUUUUAACGGCUGUUCAUAUGAAAGCCAGACUGAGAAUGACAAAGCAUGAUAAAUUGUUAGUUCUGAAAGAUUGAAUAUUUAUUUAAGCUAAUAAACAAGGGUUCAAAAAAUUUGUUGCAGUAACACUUUAGUUAGAAAAUAUCAAAAUGUUAAACACCAAAAUUAUCCUGGCAUGGGGGAUUAAGUUUUCAUGGGGGAAAAGAAGCCAAAUUCUUCUUGCAUUCCUGCAGAGAUGUAUUCAGGGAUGGAUUUACUGGGGGGGGGGCACCCCCCUUGCCCUGGCCAGAGGGGGUGUGGGGGGUGCUAUUUUUCAUGAUAAAACAAAAAAUUAUUAGAGGCAAAAUGACAUACAGUAAUUUGAGUAAUAACAUGAUGAUAUGUGAACAACAAUUACAAUUUAAAUACAGUAAUCAAGCAGGACUUUGCAGUAGUGAAGCAAGUUGAUGGGCAGGUGGCACACAUGACCGACACAACUCGGCACCAGAGCUGGCAGAGCACCCCCCUACCAGAUCAUGCUGGAUCCAUCCCUGGAUGUAUUUACUGCCAUGGGGAUGCACCCCCCUUAACAUUGGCAAAGUGGGUGCAAGGGGGGGGGGGUAUUUCAUCAAAUAAUUUUUUUUUUCAAUUUGGAAAGGCAAUAUCCUGUCACCAUUACCACAAUAAUACCCCUCACUGCUGUGUGUAGCUACAAAUGAUUACUGACUUGGUCAACAGUUAUACACUGAACCAUAUAUGGGUCGAUGAGCACACCCGGCCUCCAUUUGUACAGACAACUUAUGCAACACUGAAAUAAAGCCAAGAACAUUUUAAAUUUCAAAUAUUCUUGCUACAUCUAAAGACUGUUUAACCAAAUCUAUGAAGGUGCACAGUAAGGUACAGUUCAACAUCAAACACUAGGUCUUCUAUUUUGUAGCUUUGAAGAUUGCAGGCUUCCAGACCAUCAUAAUGAUCAUAUCUUGACAGACUAUUGUUUGGUCUAUAAAAGACUUAGUUCCUUCAGUGUCCCUCGAACAAAAUCGAUCAUAAGGAAAAUUUUUAGAUAUUAAUCACAAUUAGGCGUAAAAUUGCAUUACGUAUAACUAUAGUCUAUAAACAACUCAUAUAUUAACAUUAAAUUUAUGUUCCUCUUCAAAGAAUAUUCAUUGAAAAACUAUUUGUUUGAAAUAAGACGUUAAUUAUUCAGAUUCACCAGCUUUUGUUGGUAGGGUUUGUUUUACUAUUUAGAUAUAUAAUAUAUUCAUCGCCGUGGAUAUUCGUCCGACACCGGAUCUUCCUGCUUCACGGCUAUUCAUCCGACAACGCUUUAAAAGCUAACACUAAACCACUAAAAGGGUUGCGUUGUUUCUUAAGAACGAAGCAACAACAUAUUCGAUACGCUAUACGUUUCGUACGCGGUGCGUAAGCGAAAAUCACGAAGAAAAAAAAAAGUAUAAAAAAAAAAUAAUAAAAUAGUGGCGCGAGCAGGAAUCGAUCCCAGAACUUGGCGCACACAAUACGGGUGCUUAAACCACUACACUACGAAGGAUUCGCUUGAAAUUCAAUUAAAUUUACGCUGUUUUAUUUUUAACGACUUUAACGAUAUGGAAAUGUCGGACGAAUAUCCACUUCCUAUAUUCAUUGACUCGUGUACAUUGCAGUUCCUUUCUUCGUUAAAAACAUACUAGAACUUAAUAACAUUUUAUCAAAUGAACUUAAAAGCUUCCAUUUUGUUUUUCCUUUACAAAAAAGUUAUCGAUGAAUGCACAAAGUUGUUAAAAUUUGCUAUUUCCUCUUCCAAACAAAAUUGUUCGCUCCUGACAGCCGCCAUUUUACAUUGCACAGAAAUACAUAAUUAUGCAAAACAUAUGCAUAAAUUUAAAUAUUAACCUUGACGUCACAGACAAGAAAUAUUAACCAUUGACCCAGCCGUUAAGUGGGCGAGUGGCGAGAACACAACGGCUGGAAUCUGAGCCUAGUUUUUACCCUACUAUAGGAAUUUGUGUACAGAGUAGAUGGAAAAUUGGAGAACACCAUUGAAUUCGCACUAAAAAUCAGCAUCUUUUCAUAGUAAAUAUCUCUAGUCUUAAUUAAUAAAGAAAACUUUUUAUUGCGUGUUUACUUCCCAGUUGACAAUAGAAAUAAACUACGGAUGACUAGACAUUGGGAUACAGGAGCGCUUUAAUGGAUAACCAUUUUACUAAUUCAUUAUUAUCAUGAGAUAACCACGGAUGUCCCCGGUUAAUAAUGAAUUCAAGAUGGCCAAUGUGCAUUCCUCGAUUUAGCCGCAUGUUUUUUGUUUGCUAGACGCCAUCUUGAGUCAUGCAUUGAAUCGAAAAUUGCUCCGAGUGGUGGUUGCAUUACAAUAAGAGCGUUGCAAAAACCAAUUCGAUACACCGCUCACCACUUCGAAGAGCGCGAACUGCUGCGCCACCAGUUUGUUGCUGAAAUUGAGACGAUAACUGCAACAUUUCAUAUAUGUAAACAGAAGCCCUAUCUGGUAUGGUUUUGGCGUUGGACGCAAGGUGUCUGAUAUAAUGUAACCAUGGCCUUAAUUUCCUGACAAUCUGCAGAGCUGCAAUUGCAUAGGGAGCCCAUCCGGGUCUUAGGGAGUGUUCCUUAUUUAUACCCGGGGUUGGUACCAAAGAGAAACUAAUCGAACAGAGAAAAAAACAACCACCCACCCUUUCGGUCAACCAUUUUUUUCCCUACCCAACUAUUGCAUGACUUGGACUUUUAUUUUACCCAAUCCAAUUUCAAAAUUAUACAAGUAUUUUACAUGUAUACAUAUAUUUUAUUAUACAAGCUACUCUGGC
rnacentral:lncRNA from 1 species